rnacentral:rRNA from 1 species
CAAUAGCGUAUAUUAAAGUUGUUGCAGUUAAAAAGCUCGUAGUUGGAUUUCGGAGUGGCACGGCCGGUCCGCCGCAAGGUGUGUCACUGGCCGGGCCGCUCUUCUUCGCAAAGACUUUGUGUGCUCUUGACUGAGUGUGCGGAGGACUUGCGACGUUUACUUUGAAAAAUUAGAGUGUUCAAAGCAGGCCAGCGCUUGAAUACAUAAGCAUGGAAUAAUGGAAUAGGACUUUGGUUCUAUUUUGUUGGUUUCUAGGACCGAAGUAAUGAUUGAUAGGGAUAGUUGGGGGUGCUAGUAUUCAGCGGCCAGAGGUGAAAUUCUUGGAUUCGCUGAAGACUAACUCAUGCGAAAGCAUUCACCAAGGAUGUCUUCUUUAAUCAAGAACGAAAGUUGGGGGAUCGAAGACGAUCAGAUACCGU